CCUACGGGAGGCAGCAGUGGGGAAUAUUGGGCAAUGGACGCAAGUCUGACCCAGCAACGCCGCGUGAGGGAAGAAGGCUUUCGGGUUGUAAACUUCUUUUAAGGGGGAAGAGCAGGAGACGGUACCCCUUGAAUAAGCCACGGCUAACUACGUGCCAGCAGCCGCGGGAAUACGGAGGUGGCAAGCGUUCUCCGGAUUUACUGGGUGUAAAGGGCGUGCAGCCGGAGAGACAAGUCAGAUGUGAAAUCCACGGGCUCAACCUGUGAACUGCAUUUGAAACUGGUUACCUUGAGUAUGGGAGAGGUCAGCGGAAUUCGUAGUGUAGCGGUGAAAUGCGUAGAUAUUACGAAGAACACCGAUGGCGAAGGCAGAUGACUGGAGCGCAACUGACGGUGAGGCGCGAAAGCGUGGGGAGCGAACAGGAUUAGAUACCCUGGUAGUC
rnacentral:rRNA from 1 species